GCGGCCGAAGGCGAGCGCAGUGACUGGGGCGAAGUCGUAACAAGGUAGCCGUAGGGGAACCUGCGGCUGGAUCACCUCCUUACGAGACUGC
rnacentral:rRNA from 1 species